CGAAAACCUGAAAGCAAAGAACGAGUCAGUUUUCGAGUGAAUUUCCAGGUAAAUAGGGUAUAGUUGCGGCAACUCGUUUGCAACUCCGCGUUAUUGUUGUUGUUUUUUAAGUGAUUGGUGAAAAAAUUCCUAUCGAUGUAUAUAUUUAUUAGAUGCAAAAAUCUAUAGUGUUAAACUAAUAUUUCCGUUAACGAAAAUUGUGAGUCUGAAGUGCCUACCGAAAGGGGCGGUGGCUGCGGUUUCGUGAGAUUAAGAAAAAUAUGUAAUAAGAAAUUUAAUAGUGGAGCAUUUAAUGGAAGACGGGUGAAUCACACUCAUACAUAUACAUAAGUAUAUACGUUGAUAAAUACAAUUGCACACCUGCGAACGGUGGUGUGAAUUGGGGAAACAUCGAAACAAAAGUAUAUACAAUAAAAGAGCAUAAAAACAACUACAAAAGAGAAUUGCCGAUUGCAAUUCCUCCAUACAAAUGUGCAAAUUUUCUUGCGUAUCUCCUGAGACAAAUAUUACGAUUUUUAUCUGAAAAAUUAUAAGUGAUUGUGUUUAUUUCUGACUAUUUCAAUUAAGAACAAAAUAACAUGUUAAGUUGCAAAAUUUUGUUUUUUUUCAAAACAUCCAUCGAAUUGUUAUUUUCUUAAAAUUUUGAAAGCAAUUCAUAAAAUGGGUUAAAUAAUUUUAUAUUAAAAAAUGCUAAAUAGUGGAAUAUGUGUUUAAUAUUCUCUUUGAUUUGUUCUUAUUUGCAAAUUAAAAAAUUUGAGUGAAAUGCUAAAUUUUCUGUAAAAAAUCAUUGUGGAAGUUGUAAACAUAGAGACAAAAGCAAAAUAAAACAAACCGAAAAACUAAUUAUCACAAAAUAAAUUUUUGUUUAUUAUACUACCGACAUAUACAUAUGCACGAUUGUAUUUUAUGUAGUAUUGGUGUAACAACUAAUUAAACAAAUCGCAAUCUAAUACCACAAAUAACUUUUUUAUUUGAUUGAUAUUUUUAAUACAAUAGCAUAGCUGAAAUCUAUUUUUCAUAAAUUCUUUGCCAAGACUUCAAUUAGCUUGUGAGGAAGACUAAAUAACGUUUUUUUUAAAUUAUUUUUGUUCUUAAAAGGUUGUUACCUAAAUCCAAAAUUUACCAAGCGCGUACUCUUUGUAAACUAUAUUUAUCAAUACAUUCCUCUCUUAAACCGCUACCCUCUUAACUUUUUCUUUGUGAACGUACUUCAAUAAAUGCCCGAAAAGGUAACGAAAAUAAAAACAACAAGGAAUAAUUCUACUUAUAUGUAAAUAGCAGCAUAUGCCUUAGCUUGUUGUUAUUGUUCUCGUAAAGUGGUCACCGCUUUGAAGGCGAAUGCAGUGAAACAACGCAACCACUAGCUCAUCGUCACACAUUCCAAAGCAUAUGGAGUAAAUCCAAAAAGAAAUAUACCUACAUACAUAUAUUCAGUUUCAGCUUUAUUACCAGUUUACUUUACAUAUUUUCUUUCCGGUCUUACCUGCAACUUGUUAUAGCGUCAUCGGGUUCUACCUGCGCGCCGCAGUGCUUCGCUUUAUCACAUACGCACGCUUAUGCAUGCAUGCAUGCAUUUAAGCUUGUGUGAAUUCGAAAUUACUCUUUAAUCCGCCUGCAUUUAUUGUCGGCGCGAUUGUUGUGUUCUACCCCACCAAAAAAAAAAAACAAAAAAAAAUUAGUAGGUAGUGAAUAUAUACUUUGGCAAAAAUACUGAAUUUUUGCGAAUAACACUUACAAUUGAAGAGUGCGAAUUGAACAAAAACAUAUUUUUGGAUACCAAAGCUUACUGUUUUGUGGAUUUACUACCCGGCCUUGACAAAUGGACGAAGCAGCAGAAAGUGUCAACAAGAUGAGUUGGGGAACGCAACUUUGGUUACAAAAUUCAAUCAUCAGGCUUAAAUUAUACAGCAAAAACCAUUGUGAAUGAUUAACGGAGCUCAGCUGACUGCUGUCAUUCUUGUUGGACUUUUUAAUGCUGUGUAAAACAAAAUCAGUAAAAAGUCAUUUUUAUAUAUGUUAAUUCUCAUAAUCUAAUAGCAUGUUAAGAAGAGUCUGAAGCUCCCUGCAAUAAAUAUUUUGAAAGUGCUAGUGAAGUGCAUUCCUGAGGCUCAUAAUAACAAAAUAUUUUUGGUGAUUAAAAUAACUAGUGCAACUUUAGCACUAACAAUAUCAAAUAAGACCGACUGGUAUAUGUAUUCAAUACAAUUUUGGCUUUUAACAAAUUCCGACAUCAACUUUGACAUGAAGUGCCAGCGGAAGAGGCCAAUUUCUGGCUGAACUAUGUAAAAAAUCUGAUUUUUUUAGUUUUGUGUCGAGUAUUAAAUGCCUAACUUAUAGCACGCAGACGCCAAUAGGUUCGAGGAAAGAUUUCUUUUAUUAAAAAUUAAAGUAGAAGUUAAAGAAAAAGCAAAAAAUGCUACAUAUAAAACAAAAAAAUAUCGAAAAUUGUUUUGCAAAGAAAAUAUAUUUUUAUUGUGCCGGUUUAUUACUCAGUUAAACGUGUUACAUGACGAUAUUAGCAUAUUUCGAAGUCGUGGGCAGGAAUUAACUGAAUUUAUUUGAAUUAUUUUAUUUGCAUUCAUUUCUGUAUUUCUGUAUUUCUUCAAUACCAAUUCCUUUUUAAGAAUUAUAUGAAUGCCGCAUGCCACUUAUCUCAGUUUAUAUACAUACAUAUAAAGUUUGUUCUUUAAUUUUUAUCGGUAUUUUCUUUGCCAACAUUUUUUUAUAUACAUACACAUGGCUAAUAUUAAAUUUAUUUGUUUUUUUUUUUAUUAUUUUUUAUUUUGCUACAUUAAUUUGUAAACUGGUUUUGUGGCUUUUUUGCAAAUAUCGCGUUGGCCAACAGUGCCAAGAGUCGGGAGUAGUGAGUGCUCUGUGUUGUCGCUCGGCCGUGUUGGCUUCUUGCCUGUUCUUUUUCAUAUUUUGAGCUUUCUUACGCUUCACGAGUUAUGAAAGCACUUGUGAUUUACAUGUGUAUUAAUGAACAAUUUUUUUUGCAUACACAGAUUUUUGAAUUUAACUGACUUUUUAAUCUCCAACUUUAUCUGAUGGGAUUAAAAAAUUGGCAUAUACGCGAAUUUUAUGCACAUCACCGCCCAACAUUUAACCGUCAGGUAGGGAGGUCCCAAUUUUUCAUUUUCGGCGCUCGUGCAAAUAAACUAUCCCUAUAUAUGUACGCAUUUUACGCUCAAAUUGGUUUAGUUCCCUUACAGCUGUCCUCUGGCCCUUUACAACUCAUUGCUUGCCGCGCCGUGUGCACUGUCGGUCAAACAUUUCGAAUAUAGGUAUAUGUAGAUAUCAGUUUUCGUGAAUUAAUAUAGCCGGCUGACUCUUUGUGCUUUUUAUGUCUGCUGCUGUUGCUGCUGCUGCUGCUGCCUGGUGCGGCUUACGGUCCUCUGUACUCGUUUCGCUUUCGGGGGUUGUUUACUUCCGUGUUUGCCAGCUGGACGCUGGUGCGCCUCUUUGUGUCGUGCGUCACAAACAUUUGCAAACAUUCAUACCUAUAUAUAUAUACAUACAAACACACGUAUGACAAACUGAUGGCAAUCUGUCUAGACUAUCUGAUUUCCGUAUUUUAUUGGCUCACUCGCUUGUAGUGGACACAUACCAGGAACGAGUGAAUAUGUACUCGUCAGUUUUCUGUUGCCUUUUGUUCUUUUGCCAUUACAGUGUAUGUUUAUGUGGAAUUUGUAUGUUUGCUCGUUCCGCAAAUUCAUAUUUAAUUGCUCUAUUGCAGUUGAAAUCGUAUUGCCCUCGUCGUAGUCAUUCGUUGGCCAUUUUGGUAAUGAAUUAAGUGCUUGGCUCGUUUAUCUGUCUGUCUGUUUGUGCGUCUGCCGAAUAUCAAUAAGCGCUGCAUGCUUAUGGGUUUACAUACAUACUUAAUGUUAAUGAAUACUGAUGAGUUUUGGGGUUAAAGAAUUUAUGGAUGUGCGUGUUUGUUGUUGCUUUUUUUUUGAUUGUGGAAUUGGAUUUGCAAUACAUAGGGUUGUAGCUACCUUCAACAUACUUUGAAUUUUUUUUCGCAUUGUCAUUCAAAUCGAUGCUUUCGCGGCUGAUAGGCUCCGUCAGCUGUUGCAUUAAUGUGAAGCUGCAAGCCUGAAGUUUUAAAGAGUAUUCGCUCCUUGAUGUUCAAUAAAAAUAAAUUCUCUUACAAUUUUAAGAAUUGAAUUUUUAUUAAAAAAUAAUUCUUUACCAACGCCAAAAUUGCUUUGGAGA